UUGAAUCCAUCUAAAAAUCUAUAGAUAAUUUUUUUUAAUUAUUUUGGAAGGAGAUCCUUCAAAUGUUAUUAGAUAUCUUACUGCUUUUAUAUCUGCAGAAACUAACAGGUUAUCCAUUGAAAUCGAAUUGUUGGGAAAUGAGACCAUCAUUCCGGCCUUUUAAAGUGAAACAAAUCUAUUAAGAAGCUGGUAGGACAGCAGAUUGGUUGGCGGCAUAUCUUGUUGAUCAUACAGGAUCUACUGGAUGAUUUUUGCUAGAUAUUUUAUUUUCAAAUGUU
rnacentral:lncRNA from 1 species